CCUUAGUUACCAGCACGUUAUGGUGGGCGACUCUAAGGAGACUGCCGGUGACAACCGGAGGAAGGUGGGGAUGACGUCAAGUCAUCAUGGCCCUUACGGCCUGGGCUACACACGUGCUACAAUGGUCGGUACAAAGGGUUGCCAAGCCGCGAGGUGGAGCUAAUCCCAUAAACCGAUCGUAGUCCGGAUCGCAGUCUGCAACUCGACUGCGUGAAGUCGGAAUCGCUAGUAAUCGUGAAUCAGAAUGUCACGGUGAAUACCGGUUCCCGGGCCUU
rnacentral:rRNA from 1 species